CUGACACAGGGAGGUAGUGACAAUAAAUAACAAUGCCGGGCCUAUACUGGUCUGGCAAUUGGAAUGAGAACAAUUUAAAUCCCUUAUCGAGGAUCAAUUGGAGGGCAAGUCUGGUGCCAGCAGCCGCGGUAAUUCCAGCUCCAAUAGCGUAUACUAAAGUUGUUGCAGUUAAAAAGCUCGUAGUUGAAUUUCUGGUCUCGGACGGCGGUCUGCCUCAAACGAGGUACGCACCAUCUGUCCGAGUCCAUCCUCGGGGAGAACGUGUCUGUGAUUAAGUUCAUGGGCUCGGGACCUCCGUCAUUUACUGUGAGCAAAAUAGAGUGUUCAAAGCAGGCUUAUGCCGUUGAAUACAUUAGCAUGGAAUAAUAAGAUAAGACCUUGGUCUAUUUUGUUGGUUUGUACUCCAAGGUAAUGAUUAAUAGGGAUAGUUGGGGGUAUUCGUAUUCAAUUGUCAGAGGUGAAAUUCUUGGAUUUAUGGAAGACGAACUACUGCGAAAGCAU
rnacentral:rRNA from 1 species